rnacentral:tRNA from 1 species
UGUUAUAGUAGUUUAAGUUUAGAAUUUUGUUUUGAUGGGACAUCGGUUUCUUAUAAUU